UACAGAGGUCCCGAGCGUUGUCCGGAAUCACUGGGCGUAAAGGGCGCGUAGGUGGCUUGAUAAGUAGGGGGUGAAAUCUCGAGGCUCAACUUCGAGGCUGCCUCCUAAACGUGUCAGGCUUGAGCAGAGUAGGAGGCAGGUGGAAUUCCCGGUGUAGCGGUGGAAUGCGUAGAGAUCGGGAAGAACAUCGGUGGCGAAGGCGGCCUGCUGGGCUCUGCGACACUGAUGCGGCGACAGCUGGUGGGGAGCAAACAGG
rnacentral:rRNA from 1 species